CUAACACAUGCAAGUCGAGCGAUUCUCUUCGGAGAAGAGCGGCGGACGGGUGAGUAACGCGUGGGUAACCUGCCUCAUACACAUGGAUAACAUACCGAAAGGUAUGCUAAUACAGGAUAACAUAAGAGAUUCGCAUGUUUCUCUUAUCAAAGCUCCGGCGGUAUGAGAUGGACCCGCGUCUGAUUAGCUAGUUGGUAAGGUAAUGGCUUACCAAGGCGACGAUCAGUAGCCGACCUGAGAGGGUGAUCGGCCACAUUGGAACUGAGACACGGUCCAAACUCCUACGGGAGGCAGCAGUGGGGAAUAUUGCACAAUGGGCGAAAGCCUGAUGCAGCAACGCCGCGUGAGUGAUGAAGGCCUUCGGGUCGUAAAACUCUGUCCUCAAGGAAGAUAAUGACGGUACUUGAGGAGGAAGCCCCGGCUAACUACGUGCCAGCAGCCGCGGUAAUACGUAGGGGGCUAGCGUUAUCCGGAUUUACUGGGCGUAAAGGGUGCGUAGGUGGUUUCUUAAGUCAGGAGUGAAAGGCUACGGCUUAACCGUAGUAAGCUCUUGAAACUGGGAAACUUGAGUGCAGGAGAGGAAAGUGGAAUUCCUAGUGUAGCGGUGAAAUGCGUAGAUAUUAGGAGGAACACCAGUAGCGAAGGCGGCUUUCUGGACUGUAACUGACACUGAGGCACGAAAGCGUGGGGAGCAAAC
rnacentral:rRNA from 1 species